rnacentral:rRNA from 1 species
GCAUGGCUGUCGUCAGCUCGUGUCGUGAGAUGUUCGGUUAAGUCCGGCAACGAGCGCAACCCACAUCUUUAGUUGCCAGCAGUUCGGCUGGGCACUCUAGAGAAACUGCCCGUGAUAAGCGGGAGGAAGGUGUGGAUGACGUCAAGUCCUCAUGGCCCUUACGGGUUGGGCUACACACGUGCUACAAUGGUAGUGACAAUGGGUUAAUCCCAAAAAGCUAUCUCAGUUCGGAUUGGGGUCUGCAACUCGACCCCAUGAAGUCGGAAUCGCUAGUAAUCGCGUAACAGCAUGACGCGGUGAAUACGUUCCCGGGCCUUGUACACACCGCCCGUCACACCAUGGGAGUUGGAUUCACUCGAAGGCGUUGAGCUAACCCGCAAGGGAGGCAGGCGACCACAGUGGGUUUAGCGACUGGGGUGAAGUCGUAACAAGGUAGCCGUAUCGGAAGGUGCGGCUGGAUCACCUCCUU